GAUUUAAAAACAGUUCAUCUGAUUAAAAGUUAUCUCAGAGAUAAAGCAAAAGAAACCGCAACCCGGACCCCCAUCCCUCAAAGAUCGCUUCUGAGCUCACAAUUAACUUUGAAGCUUUCAGACUGUAACGUUCUAUGAAACGUAAUGUAUUUCCAUGAGCAAGAUCAUAAUUUUAGAUUUUACAUCAUUAGUGACUAAGUGCGGCAAUUCCAAACACUUCUCAAUGGGAGGGGUGGAACCCCCUGCAGUGGGGAGUCCCCCAAAUACAUGUCCACGUCCCACAACUCGGAUACUUGGGUGUGUGACUUUGUUAGAAGCAGGGUCUUUACAGAUAUAAUUAGUUAAAAUGAAGUCAUGCUGGACUGGAAUGGACCCCGAUCCAAUGCCUAGUACACCUGUGCAAAGACAGAACUGGACAGAGACAGAAGCAGCCACGUGAAGACGGAGGCAGAGACGGGAGUGACGCAUCUUAAGGAUGGCUGCUGCCACCAAGGGCUGCAAGAGGCCAAGCGGAGCCUCCCCCAGAGCCGGGAUGUCGGGCUCCUGGCUCCUAGAACUGGGAAAGGCUCCAUUUCUGUUGUGUGAAGCCCCCUAAUUAAGCCACAAAGGUCCUUUGUUACAGCAGCUCUAAGAAACAACUAUACCCAAUCCCAAUUCCUUAAAACAAAAAAACAAAAAAACCCUUACUAUUACAAUUUGCUUUACACCGGCCUUAAUUUUGUGCUUUCCCCUUUUCAAAGAAAGCUCCAACAUAAACAGUGCUUGAGGGAGGUACAGCAGGUGAACCAGUCCGUCCUACAAAAGAAAAGCAGCUUCGGAAAAGGGACCAGCCGAGCUUGCCGGGAGGAGGGUCUGGCCCACUGGGCACGUGCUCGUGAAAAGGGUGGACACCACCAAGCACUUCUCACCACUCCUCAGUGGAAUGAGAGGCUAGGCCACACUCAGCCCCUCCGCCCAGCUGCACCCUGCAGAGGCAACCACUGUUCACUAUUUGGGCGCUUAUCUUUCUAGAACAUUCAUAAGCAUCUAGAACACAUGUGUUUUUACACAGAUGGAUCCUACAGCAUCACCGUUCACCUCGCCUUUUCCCUCCUGGGUAACGGGCCUUAUCCCCCCGCCUUGCUCUCUGUAACAGCAGCCUGCCAUGCCGUGCUGCCCCCUCGGCUCCCUGGGUCCACACGCCCCACGCAAACACCCCUGCACCCAUGAGCACCCACUCCGCGGGAUGAGCCCGGCCUGUGACAGCACCACUCUGACCAGGGGCCUCAGCAAAUGUUCUGGAAAUCCCACCCCCCUCUCAGGGAAUUUCUGAGUCCCCUCGUUCCCACUUUGCUUGGAUGUCGCUCUGGAAGUGAACAGACGGGAAAGAAGGGACACUUCAGUUAGGAUGACAUGUUUCGCGCUCAGCAAAAACCUAGAGGAAGACGCAGGUCUGGAUCCGACUUCAGCACAGAACUGGAAAGAGGGAAGAGCAGAACCUCUAGGAAGAUGGGUGGUGACAGCGAGGCCAGAGGGAGGAAAAGACCCUGGCAAGCAGGAACCGUCCAACACGAACUGGAGAUGGGGUGACAAAGUAUCAACUGGAACAGCUCACCAAGGAUGAGCCUGUAACCCGGGAUUUUUGCCCAAAGGCUUUAGGCACCUACAGUCUGUCACCGAUCAUAUCUCACUCUCCUCUGACUUCACAGGGCACCUUGGUGACCCAGGUCAGUGCUUUCAUUUGUCUGUCUUAUGGUCCUGACAACCUCACCCGAGAAGAGUCCAGACCUUCCUUUCGGGACUGACAGAGGCAGAGGUGCUGCUCUGAAGGCCAAUGGGUCAGCAUGAACACCCCCACACCCCCUCCCAGCAGGCAGCCCUCCGCGCCAGAACUGGGAGGUGCAGGGGCCGGGGGACCACAGCCACGGCCCUCUGAACCCCCCACACAGCUAUGGGCUGCAGCUGGAGCAACGACACGUGGCGAGAGCCAACAACGGCCACCUUAACAUAAAAUACUAAGAACAGAAAGAAGGACACCAAAUCCUGAUGGAAUCUCGGGUUCUCACGGCUGAUGAUGAAUCCUGUGGCACUGAACCUAAAAACACAAAUCCAGGCCUGUUUCUUGGCCUUGAACUUGUUCAUUUUCUUUGGAAACUGAUCACUUUUGUAAGUAUUACCAGCUGUCAGGGGCCUGGUCCCAUGGACGAGACAAGGUGACAGCCAGCACCACAGCUAUGGAGGCAUGGCAGUGUCCGGGGCUUUGACCUCUUCCACCUCACUCACUCACCCUCAGUACACCAACCACGCAACCUCCACCAGGCCUACCAGGCGGCUUCCAUCACCUCUCAUUCUACAGAAGGGCAAACUGAGGCUCGGGGGAGGGCAGCUGCAGUGCCUCCAUUUACCACAGCUCCCUCACAUCCUCUCUGGUGCCAGACAGCUUGGGCUAGACCUGAUUCUAAGCAUCCUUCCUUGCUGGUCAAAUGGAGACAGUAAGAGAAACAAACAUCUCUGCAAACAACGGCAGCACAUGCUCAGGACUGGCGGGGGCCGCUCACGGAGCUUCCCAAGGGCACACGCUCUCAACUCCACACCCCAGGCCUGGGCACAGGGCCCAGCACCACAUGGAUGCCCAAUAAAUGUCUGGGAACAAGACUGGAGAUCCAGAGAUCAGGACCUGGACUGUUCCACCCUGUUCACAACACAGACACAGAAAACCAGGGACACGUGGCUGAGUGUGGGGUGAGGUCCAUUGGCUCCAAAGGAAGGACUCACCAACCUUAAUUUUUGGCUUAAAAAUCAGCUUUCAAAUGUCAGUUUAGAAAUAAUUUGGCUUACGUGGAGACUUGCUGGGUGACAAUAUACACCCUAUGUGGGGCUGGCUUUGUCCCUCAUUGUUGGGAACCUGCCAGAGCCAGAGAAACAGGCAAAACCAUUGGGAGGCAGGGUGACCCCCAAAGGGCUGCCCGAUGUGUGCUCCCCCCAGCAGUGUGAGAACACCAGGACCCAGACUCGCGAGCCCCUGGGUUCUCAGCCCUUGCUGUCCUUAUGCUGGCGAGAUGCACUGACUCAUCCGGCUACUGCUCUGUCCCGUCAGUGACAGUUCUUAGCUACAGAAGCACACAGACCACUGCUGUCCAAAAACAAGGCCUGUCCCAGGACCCCAGCUUGCUCCCACAGACAUGACGCAGGCAGUCAGCAAGUGGGCUGACAUCCCCUGGGAGAGCCUGUCGCUGGGACCCACAGUUCCAGAGCUCCAGGCUCAAACACAAAACAUGUAAGUCUAUCAGUAAUCCUGUGGACCAGCCUUAAAAAGAAGAGGCACAGCCUCUUGGCCUUCAUCCCUGUGGAGUCGGCUCCAGCUGCAGAGUCCACAAAAGGCAGCAGCUUACCGCCGCCCCUGCCAGCCACGGGGCAGGCAGCUGUGCACGGUUCCUGGAGCAGCCUCCAUGCCGCUUGCAGGAGCCCAGGUGGGCAAAGAGGGCCUCGUCCUCCAAAUGCCAGGGCUCUGCAGCUGAUGGGUGAUUGCUGCUUCUAAUAACAGGUGCAGACAAACAGGUAGGGAGCCACUGUUGUUGCCCCUCCCCCUUGUUGCAAGCCCCACCCCUUCCAGCUGAACAGGCUGCCAGGGGAUUUAAAGGGCCUGUGCCCUUUUUCACCCCCAAUGAUUUUUCACUUUUUCCCAUCUUCGGAGCCAGACACUAAAGAAUAGGACAUUCGAAAGCAACCGCAUAUAAAGGGGAAAUUAGAAAGCGACCACACAUGCCCAGGGAAAGGCAUGGGCUCAGAAAGACCUGAGAAGGCCUUAAGUUAUUCCUCAGGCUGAUCCUUGGCACAGAGACCACCUGCAACAACCAAAGAAAACAAUAACAAAAAACCCCAGCAAACCCUGGAAAGGAGGAGGAUCUAAUUUCCACAGAUACCACAUUAUUAGAUCCAAAUGUCCAGUUUUUAACAACAACAACAAAAAAUGCUACAAAGACAGGAAAAUACAGCCCAUUCAAAUGAAAAAAAUACAUCAACAGAAGCUGUCCCUGAAAAACACCUGAUGGCAGAUCUUCUAGACAAAACUUUAAAACAAUCAUCUUAAAGAUUCUCAAGGAACUAAAAGAAGAUGGGGAGAAAGUCAAGAAAGCAAAGUAUGAACAAAAUUGAAAUAUGAAUAAAGAGACAGGAAACCUCAAAAGAAACCAAAAAAAUCGGGAGCUGAAAAAGUAUAGUAACUCACAUGAAAAAUUCACUGCGGAGAUUCAAAGGCAGAUUUGAGCGGGAAGAAGAAUCAGCGAACAUGAGGAAAGGACGAUGGAAAUGAUCAACGCUGAGAAAUGGAAAGAAAAAAGAUUGAUGAAACGUGACCUGCUGGACACCAUCAGGCAGACUAACAUACAUGUGAAAGUCCCAGCAGGAUAAGAAAGGAAGGGGCAGAAAGAAUAUUUGAAGGAAUAAUGACUAAAAUCUUCCCAAAUUUGAUGAAAGAUAUGAAUAUAAACAUUCAAGAAGCUCAAAGAUCUCCAAGUAACAUGAACUAAAAAGGCCCACACCAAGACACGUUAUAAUCAAACUGUUGAAAGCCAAGGACAAAGAGAGACUCUUGAAAGCAGCAAGAGAGAAGCAACUUGUCACAUACAAGGGGUCCCCAGUAAGAUUAUCAGCCGACGUCUCAUCAGAUACUUCGACGGCCAAAAGGCAAUGGGCCCAUAUAUGAAAAGUGCUAAAAGAAAAAAAAAAUCUGUCAACCAAGAAUCUUAUAUCCAGCAAAACUGUCCUUCCAAAGUGAGGGAGAAAUGAAGACAUUCCAAGAUAAACAAAAGCUGAGGAACUUCAUUACCAGUAGACCUGCCCUACAGGAGAUGUCCAGGGGCGUCCUGGAGGGUGAAGCGAGGACACUAGGCAGUCACUGAAAACUGAGUGUAAAAAUAAAGAUGCCGAGAAAGGUAAAUACAUGGGCUAUUAUAAAAGCUAGUAUUGUAACAACAA